CGCCGCGCACCCCCGCGUGCACCCGCGCACACACGCGCCCGCUCUUCAGCUCUGUGUUAUCUCAAAUAAUUACCCUGCGCUUCUGGCUGUCCCCAGUGACUUCUGCUGCUAAAAAAGCUACUCAUUGUCGCCUCUCAAAGCCAACCUUGAUCACAGGGAGCUGAGCUCUUCACAGGCACAGCCUUUGGCACAUGCUGGUCUGUGAGCAUACACGUGGUCCUGUUGACGGCAGAGUGGUUUAACACCUCACGCAACUGAACCUUUAACUCAGGAACGUGAGUUCUCAAUUGAGCUUGUGCUUUAGAAGAGCCCUGACAAGUAAAUCUGUGCGGUGUUGUCCUAAUUUGAAGAGUAAUGAGUUUUGAGUGACCAUGAUCUUACCCUGUGUAUGACAAGGAAGGAAGCAACAUUCUCACUUUCUCAUAGGACCCUCCUACUACACCAGGAAACUGCAAAAAGCAAACACCAACUUGUCUCGUUAUGAGCAUUAAGGAUCCCUGUGGAAGGAUCUCAUGCUAAAAAGCAUAAUGCAGCUCCCUUUCAAGGUGUGCUUAACAUCAGCUUCUCACUCAGGACAGGCACAUGUCUGUACUUGUCAGAAGACCAGGCACAGAAGCUGUUAAUAAGGUACCUCUCAUCCUCAAAUACAUACAGAAGAGGAAUGUGACACCUUGACUGGGCACUGCACUCCCACAGCUUCCUCGUGUCCAUCUUCACAGGCAAAUUAAGAUCCAUGAGAAGAGAAAGUGAAAAAUAACUUCACAGAAACAAAAAAUACCGCAUAAAAGCCAGUGGGCAUCCUGUAUUCCAUUGUAAAAUGGCAACACAUUUCAGGAAUACAAAGGUGAAACAAGCUGUGAUCCAGUGCCAGCAUUUUACCACUGCACACCAAGGUGGCAAUCGAGGAAUAAAAACCAUCUGGGACUGGGAUGCAGAUAAGUGUUCAAACAUCUGUCUUCUAAUGAUAGCUCUCCAACCCUAUGGAUAGUCUCCCCUAAUAGACAACUUCGGUAAAAACCAUAUUUACCUGCAAGUCUCCACAACUCUCUAGUGAGACAUACAGUGUCCAAAUGGUUCAUACAUCCCACCAGUAUUUUAAAAGUUGAUAAUUGAUAUUCACCCCUCCAUUGAAAGGGCUAAAACUUCUCUCUUCCCCUCUCUUUCUUUCUUUUGGCUUGAAACAAGCAAAUCACUGUGAUUUUCAACAGGAGGGUGAGCUGGUGUAGACUCAAAACUGUCCUGCAGAAAUGUCCUAAAUCUAUACCCUGACAGUCCUUGCACACAAUAUGCCAUCCUUGUUUUGUGUUAUAUUGUAUUGUGCUGUAGUAUCUUCUACUCUAUAUCUCAUUGCACUAUUUUAUCUCCCUCAUUGUAUCACUGGGUGUGUGUGAACCCUUCAUAGUGCUGUACAGAAGAAUAGGACUAAUAUCUAACACAUGCUGUUGUGAUUUGGGGAAUCAAUCUCUGUACCACUAAAAUUAAUUCUGUUUUAUAGCAUGGACUGCACUGCAUCUGUUUCAGAAAGCAAGCCCCAUAUGGACUGGAGUUUCCUGGCCAUCUCUGCAGCCUCUUGUCCUCUCAUUGAUACACUAACCAUAGGAGAUGCAGGUUGCAUCCUUUUACCUGGCUACAGAGCUAACAGAGGAGCAUCACUAAAAUGGGAAAAAUCAGCCAUGCAAAUCAGCCAGAGAAAUGGCUGCCAACCAAAGCAGAGGAACUUUUCCAAGUCUGAACCCUAUCAGGCAGCAAGUUAGUAACUGUUUUUUGGAUUCAUUUGAUGAGCUGAUAAAUCUGAUAAGAGGGCACCUGAGGUGUUACACAAAUCAGGAGAGACUGAGAAUCCAUGAUCCUGAGAAGUCAGAGGCAAGAAUUUCUGUCUAGAAGAAGAAUUGUGACCUACUUAGAGGAAUCUGACUUAAGCCCCAAAUAAUGCUCUUGCUCAAGCAUGAAUUACAAGCAGCUGAAGAAAGAUGAGCUUUUGCACUUGUUCUCUAGCCAAGUUUGCCCACAUUUAAUGAGAAGUACAACUUGGUGCCAUUUUGUAUUCCUGUGCUGUGGUGCAGAUGGAGAGGCCGCUCUGAGUGUGAGUCCAGAAGCCACUCACCCACUCCUCCAGGCACUCCACACAUCCUGCCCCAUGCCUGUCCUUGCAGAGCCUGGAGCCAGAAAGCAUCAGGUUCAGGAGCAGAAGGAGCAGCAGUAGAUGUGAAAAACAGCUUCACAAAUGGGAACCAGAGCUGGCAGCAGUGCCAGAACAUCGGGCAUGGAUCAGGCUGGAGAAAAAGAAUUAACAGUCCCAUGCCCAGAAGACUGGAGAGUAAGAGAGCAGCAGUCACCCAUGGAGGGAGGGGAAAUGCUACACUGUCACACCUAAACUCAGGUACAAUAGUCUCAGUACAGUAAAAUUCCCUGGGGCAAAGUUGAUGGUGAAAAUAUAGGUCCUGGUUCACCCCCAUGCUGGGCGAUGCCUCGCUGUGUGUCAAGUCUGGGCAGAUGCUUUGUGUGUUGUGUUGUUUGGGCCAAAGUCCCACAGGAAAAAAAAGCGAGUCCAAAUUGAAAGAUGCUAUGAGUCAGUCUUCUGAUGAAAGAGAGGAACGUGAUGUUGGGGCUGGCAAACAUGAUAGUGCUGUGGGAUUAAAAGAAAAAAAAAAGAAAGAUAAAGAAAAGCCCACAGAGAAAGGGUAUGCAAAUUAUGGGAAAAAGAGCAAAAGAGGAACUUUUCUCUAGGGAUGCUACAUCUCUGCCUUCCAUUCUCCCAGAGGAUCGUGGGUAUGGCAGUGGGUGAGCUCUUCCGGUUGAAAUACAGAAGUAAGAAUGUAAAGAAUAAUAACUGAAGCACUCCAUCGGCCUCCAUCAUAGAACUGUUUUAGUUUGGUUUUGAGGCAACCUGGGAUCCUGACCUAAGCUUUUUCCCCCAGAGAUGGGAGAGCCCUGGCUAUUGCCCUGCCAGUCCGGACAGGCUGUCAGAGUAGCAGCAUGGCCCAAAAUCCACACAGGAAACUCUUGGACCCACACUGGCAUCACAGGCACUGCCCAGCACCACAGUUUGAAGUGAGGCUAAUCUGAGCUAAAGCUCAAGUUUUCACCACCUCCUAUUAUCUGGAAAGCAAAACUGAAUGCACUGCUUGGCAAUGGCAAGGGGAAAGCAGGAAUUGCAUGGAGGGCACAGAACAGGGGAAAUUACUGACAGUGCAGGAUGGCUGAACACGGCAUGGUUUUGGUUAAGAAAAGAAGUGUUUUCUACAGCAAAGGCCCCACAUUCAAAGACACCACUUUAACUUAGCCCCAGCAGCACUGGAAAUGCAAGCAGGGCAGAAGGAAAGUAGAAGAGGCGGCUGUUGUCAGAAAACAGUUCCUGGAAAAUAUUAAAGUUCUCUUGAGGCAUGUAGAAAAAUUCCAGGAUACCGUAUUAUUAUUGUUAUUAUUAUUACCCUUGAUCUUUUGGAAGGUGGGAAGGGAGCAUAUGCAGUCUUAAAGGAAGAAGACAAGACAUCUGUAGCCUUUAAAAAGAAAAGCACUAAAAAGAAGGCUUCUAGGCUCUCCUUACAACAUUUUUAAUUAUCUUCCUUAAGUUUCCCAAAUAAAAACACAUUGCAUGAAGCCUCACCCAAUAAAACUAUGUGGGUAAAUACAAUACCCAUUGUCUAAUCAAUAUCAUAUUGCUCAUGGCUUUAGCUUGUUCAAUAGCUGAGUUCACUGACUCCUGAUUUGCACCUAAGGAUGCCAAUAUCUGCUCAGUGUUGGACAAACUGCAUUUGUCAUUCCCUGUAACUGAGUUCUUUAAUCUCAUUAAUAACCCACAGAUACCAAAACACAGCUUUGGCUUUUGGCUGGAAUAUGCCAGGUUUCCAGUGUGCACUUUUAGCUCAGGGGCUAAAAGUGUUGUGCAUUAAAUAGGCUCGUUGCCCCUGCAGAGGCCACAGCCCUCCUGCCCCAUUGCUCCUCAACUUGGACACCCAUGAAUGCCAGAAAUUGCAAAAAAAACAUAAAACCCAAGAGAAGCCAUCAGAUACAGAGAGUUAGAGGUCAUGGAAGAUAAGAAACACACAGAAUUAUGUCUGUAUUAAGUGUGUCAUAGCCCCCACGCUGCGUCGCCUGCUGUGGCCUCAGCCCCAAGUGCUGGGGAGGCAGGAACAGCUCCUGCUCCCCAGGCCUCGUCCUUCUGAGCUUGCCUGCAUAUGGCAGCAAACCCCGUGCUCCAGCCCCAGAAGUAUGCAUCAAUAAAUUAUCUUCAUUGGAAACACAUUGCAAACAAAAUGCAAAUGGCAAGAAAGUGCUUGUUCUCAGAGGUCUGUCUUGAGAGUUCAUCUACCCAGAUUAUAAACACUUGAUAAGCAUCCUGGUUUUCAGGCUAACUGUCUGUACGGCAGAUCCCAGGACUAGGCUCCUGGGAUUUCAAAAUGUAUCAUGAAAUAAAAACAGCUGCAAGGGAAACUCAUAUGACUAGGAUAGGUGCCAUAUAGCAAUUAACAGCCAGAAGUUUUGAUCUGGAAAAUCACAUUUAUUUUAAUUGCUUCACUGUUGUAUUCAUAAAGAAUUUGGCUCAUUUGAUUAUUUUCCUUAUUAGAUAUACUACUUAACUUUGGAAUAAUGUAGUCAUUAGUUCCAUUGUUCCAGGUUUUUCAUUGCAGUGAAUUGAAUGACAGAGACGUGUUCUGCAAGGAAGAUUGUUUAUAAAUAUUUAUCAUAGCCUUAACAGAUAUUUGUGUAAUCCAUCCUAAUUUUUUUAGCACAUAAUUCACCAGUUAUUUAAUCUGCUGUGUGAUGAGUGCAGGUUCCUUAACCUUGAGUUCAAUAAGGCAUUUGAAGUGUGUGAUCUCUUAUCACAAGAACAGAG